GACGAACGCUGGCGGCGUGCUUAACACAUGCAAGUCGAACGGAAAGGCCCUGCUUGCAGGGUACUCGAGUGGCGAACGGGUGAGUAACACGUGGGUGAUCUGCCCUGCACUUCGGGAUAAGCCUGGGAAACUGGGUCUAAUACCGGAUAGGAGCCAUUUUUAGUGUGAUGGUUGGAAAGUUUUUUCGGUGUAGGAUGAGCUCGCGGCCUAUCAGCUUGUUGGUGGGGUAAUGGCCUACCAAGGCGGCGACGGGUAGCCGGCCUGAGAGGGUGGACGGCCACAUUGGGACUGAGAUACGGCCCAGACUCCUACGGGAGGCAGCAGUGGGGAAUAUUGCACAAUGGGCGCAAGCCGGAUGCAGCGACGCCGCGGGGGGGAUGACGGCCUUCGGGUUGUAAACUCCUUUCGCUAGGGACGAAGCUUUUUGUGACGGUACCUAGAUAAGAAGCACCGGCUAACUACGUG
rnacentral:rRNA from 1 species